GAUUAUUUUUGAAUGAAAAUACAGGUUCAUGAUAUAUUGAAAAGGCUGUCCAUGAUAAAAUGAAGCUAGGGGUAUUGUCUGGAGACAAGAUGAAAGGAAAUGACUGAGAACAUUGGGUACAUUAAGAAUGGCUUCUUCUGAAUUCUGUUUCCAAGGAACUUGUAUUGAAUAUAAACUAGUUUUAUUUUCCUUUUCCUUUUACAGCUAUGCUUUUGGUUUACUUUUAGAUAAGACAUUAAACAAAUAGUGAUCACUCUUCAUUCUGAGAUAUCCUGCCAUUGGAAAAACAUGGAAGUUAUUAUUAUGUUGGCAUGAGUGGUGUAGGAGGAAUUCACGUCUAAAUAUUCACUU
rnacentral:lncRNA from 1 species